rnacentral:rRNA from 1 species
ACGGCUCAGUAACGCAUAAUCUGCCUUARGUUGAGGAUAAUGUUGGGAAACUGACUUUAAUACUCAAUAAAUGAUUGACACUGGAAGGUUCUUUCAUUGAAAAGCAAUGCCUAAGGAUGAGUUGGCGGCUGAUUAGGUAGUUGGUGAGGUAAAGGCCCACCAAGCCUGAGAUCAGUAGGGGUCGUGAGAGCGAUAGCCCCGAGAAGGGCACUGAGAUACUGGCCCUAGUCCUAAGGGAUGCAGCGGGCUGGAAAACUUUACAAUGCACGAAAGUGUGAUAAGGGAAUUUCAAGUGCUUAUACUUAGUAUAGGCUUUUGCCAAGGGUAAGGACCUUGGAGAAUAAGUGGUGGGCAAGACUGGUGCCAGCCGCCGCGGUAACACCAGCGCCACGAGUAGUAUUCACGUUUAUUGGGUCUAAAGCAUCCGUAGUCGGUUUGUAAAGUCUUUUGUGAAAUUGUUGAACUCAAUUUAACAGCAUGCAAAAGAUACUAAUAAGCUAGAGACCGGGAAGAGGUAAGAGUACUCUGAGGGGAGCGGUAAAAUGCUAUAAUCCUCAGAUGACUACCAAUGGCGAAGGCACUUAUCUAGAACGGGUCUGACGAUGAGGGAUGAAAGCUAGGGGAGCAAAACGGAUUAGAUACCCGAGUAGUCCUAGCUGUAAACGCUGUGAGCUAUGUGUUGCAUAUUCCUCGAGAAUGUGCAGUGCCUAAGUGAAGACGUUAAGCUCACCACCUGGGAAGUACGGUCGCAANGAUUGAAACUUAAGGAAUUGGCGGGGGAGCAC